rnacentral:rRNA from 1 species
GUGCCAGCGCCGCGGUAAUACCGGCAGCUCGAGUGAUGUCCAAUAUUAUUGGGCCUAAAGCGUCCGUAGCUGGCCGCGCAAGUCCGUCGGGAAAUCCACCCGCCCAACGGGUGGGCGUCCGGUAGAAACUGGCCGGCUUGGAACCGGAAGGCUCAGAGAGUACGUCCGGGGUAGGAGUGAAAUCCCGUAAUCCCGGACGGACUACCGAUGGCGAAAGCACUUCGAGAAAACGGAUCCGACAGUGAGGGACGAAAGCCAGGGUCUCCAACCGGAUUAGAUACCCCGGUAGUCC